rnacentral:rRNA from 1 species
AGUUCUCUCUCUCGCACGGGGAGCUUGCUCCUGGGUGACGAGCGGCGGACGGGUGAGUAAUGUCUGGGGAUCUGCCUGAUGGAGGGGGAUAACUACUGGAAACGGUAGCUAAUACCGCAUAACGUCGCAAGACCAAAGAGGGGGACCUUCGGGCCUCUUGCCAUCAGAUGAACCCAGAUGGGAUUAGCUAGUAGGUGGGGUAAUGGCUCACCUAGGCGACGAUCCCUAGCUGGUCUGAGAGGAUGACCAGCCACACUGGAACUGAGACACGGUCCAGACUCCUACGGGAGGCAGCAGUGGGGAAUAUUGCACAAUGGGCGCAAGCCUGAUGCAGCCAUGCCGCGUGUAUGAAGAAGGCCUUCGGGUUGUAAAGUACUUUCAGCGAGGAGGAAGGCAUUAAGGUUAAUAACCUUAGUGAUUGACGUUACUCGCAGAAGAAGCACCGGCUAACUCCGUGCCAGCAGCCGCGGUAAUACGGAGGGUGCAAGCGUUAAUCGGAAUUACUGGGCGUAAAGCGCACGCAGGCGGUUUGUUAAGUCGGAUGUGAAAUCCCCGGGCUCAACCUGGGAACUGCAUUCGAAACUGGCAAGCUUGAGUCUUGUAGAGGGGGGUAGAAUUCCAGGUGUAGCGGUGAAAUGCGUAGAGAUCUGGAGGAAUACCGGUGGCGAAGGCGGCCCCCUGACAAAGACUGACGCUCAGGUGCGAAAGCGUGGGAGCAAACAGGAUUAGAUACCCUGUAGUCCACGCCGUAACGAUGUCGACUUGAGGUUGUGCCCU